UACGGAGGAUCCAAGCGUUAUCCGGAUUUAUUGGGUUUAAAGGGUGCGUAGGCGGCUUAUUAAGUCAGGGGUGAAAGACGGUGGCUCAACCAUCGCAGUGCCCUUGAUACUGAUGAGCUUGAAUACACUUGAGGUAGGCGGAAUGUGACAAGUAGCGGUGAAAUGCAUAGAUAUGUCACAGAACACCAAUUGCGAAGGCAGCUUACUACACAGUUAUUGACGCUGAGGCACGAAAGCGUGGGGAUCAAACAGG
rnacentral:rRNA from 1 species